GGCAAUAGCUCAAAUUUGAAAGCUGGCCUUCGGGUCCGCAUUGUAAUUUGUAGAGGAUGCUUUGGGGUGGCCGCCUGUCUAAGUUCCUUGGAACAGGACGUCAUAGAGGGUGAGAAUCCCGUAUGUGACAGGAAAUGGCGCCCUAUGUAAAGCUCCUUCGACGAGUCGAGUUGUUUGGGAAUGCAGCUCUAAAUGGGAGGUAAAUUUCUUCUAAAGCUAAAUACUGGCGAGAGACCGAUAGCGCACAAGUAGAGUGAUCGAAAGAUGAAAAGCACUUUGGAAAGAGAGUUAAAAAGCACGUGAAAUUGUUGAAAGGGAAGGGCUUGCAAUCAGACUUGUCCAAACCGUUCGGCCGGUCUUCUGACCGGUUUACUCGGUUUGGACAGGCCAGCAUCAGUUUCGGCGGCCGGAUAAAGGCUCUGGGAAUGUGGCCUCCACUUCGGUGGAGGUGUUAUAGCCCAGUGUGUAAUACGGCCAGCCGGGACUGAGGUCCGCGCUUCGGCUAGGAUGCUGGCGUAAUGGUUGUAAGCCACCCGUCU
rnacentral:rRNA from 1 species